rnacentral:rRNA from 1 species
GACGAACGCUGGCGGCGUGCUUAACACAUGCAAGUCGAGCGGUAAGGCCCUUUCGGGGUACGACGAGCGGCGAACGGGUGGAGUAACACGUGGGUGACCUCGCCCUCCAGCUCUGGGAGUAAGACCCGGGAACCGUAGGGUCGUAAUACCGGAUAUGACUUCAUGACGCAUGUUGUGGAGUGGAAAGCCUUGUGCGGCUGAGGAUGGG